UACGAAGGGGGGCUAGCGUUGCUCGGAAUCAUUGGGCGUAAAGAGCGUGUAGGCGGCUCGGUAAGUCCGCUGUGAAAGUCCAGGGCUCAACCCUGGAAUGCCAGUGGAAACUGUUGAGCUAGAGUCCGGAAGAGGCGAGUGGAAUUCCUGGUGUAGCGGUGAAAUGCGCAGAUAUCAGGAGGAACACCAAUCGGCGAAGGCAGCUCGCUGGGACGGUAGCUGACGCUGAGACGCGAAAGCGUGGGGAGCAAACAGG
rnacentral:rRNA from 1 species